GAAGCCGUAGCUCAGCAGGAUAGAGCAUCAGAUUCCUAAUCUGAGGGUCGCGCGUUCGAAUCGCGCCGGUUUCACCA
rnacentral:tRNA from 1 species